rnacentral:sRNA from 1 species
CGGGAAGGGCAAAACACAGGCAGCAAUCGUGUGAGCUUUUCUCACACGUGCCCAUCCACGUGCCUCAAGCCCGAUCUGAGGGGACUCCCUCUAGA